rnacentral:rRNA from 1 species
AUUGAACGCUGGCGGCAGGCCUAACACAUGCAAGUCGAACGAGUGGCGGACGGGUGAGUAAUGUCUGGGAAACUGCCCGAUGGAGGGGGAUAACUACUGGAAACGGUAGCUAAUACCGCAUACCAUCGGAUGUGCCCAGAUGGGAUUAGCUAGUAGGUGGGGUAACGGCUCACCUAGGCGACGAUCCCUAGCUGGUCUGAGAGGAUGACCGGCAAAACUGGAACGGAGACACGGUCCAGACUCCUACGGGAGGAAGCAGAGGGGAAUAUUGCACAAUGGGCGCAAGCCUGAUGCAGACAUGCCGCGGGGAGGAAGAAGGCCUUCGGGUGGUAAAGUACUUUCAGCGAGGAGGCGGUACUCACAGAAGAAGCACCGGCUAACUCCGUGCCAGCAGCCGCGGUAAUUC